UACGAAGGGUGCAAGCGUUACUCGGAAUUACUGGGCGUAAAGCGCACGUAGGCGGUCAGGCAAGUCGGGUGUGAAAGCCCUGGGCUCAACCUGGGAAUUGCAUUCGAAACUAUCUGACUCGAGUAUGGGAGAGGGAAGCGGAAUUUCCAGUGUAGCGGUGAAAUGCGUAGAUAUCGGAAGGAACACCAGUGGCGAAGGCGGCUUCCUGGACCAAUACUGACGCUGAGGUGCGAAAGCGUGGGGAGCAAACAGG
rnacentral:rRNA from 1 species